UUUUUUGUUUCAUCAAAGGUGGUGUGGCUAUGAUACUAAGGGAGACUGUGUGGCGGUGUUUCAGGUUCGAGAUCAUUCAGUAGUGCCUCAUCAAGAAAGUGUGCUCUGUUCUUGGCUUUAAGAGAUUAGCUUCAAGAGAGCAAAUGAAUAUGACGAUCACUGAAUGGUGAAUUCAAAAGAACAAAAGGUUUUCCAUGGGUAGUUGUAAACAGAACUCCCUCUGUACUGAUACAUAUGUUUUUUUUCUUUUAAUUAUUUUCAGACAGGUCGGUCUUUCUGGAUCGGAAGGAAUUUUUUUUAGCUUGGCCUUUGAGUUUCAUAAAUUCAGAAUAAGUUCCUACACCUGUCGUAACUGGACAAAUCAUGCAUGCACGGCUCAGG
rnacentral:lncRNA from 1 species